rfam:Tupaia chinensis contig106395, whole genome shotgun sequence.
GUGCUUGCUUCGGCAGCACAUGUGCUAAAAUUGGAACCAUACAGAGAUUGGUAGGGCCCCUGUGCAAGGAUGACACGCAAAAUCGUCAAGUGUUCCAUAUUUUU